AUGAACGCUAGCGACAGGCCUAACACAUGCAAGUCAGGGGCAGCACAAGGAGCAAUCUGAGGUGGCGACCGGCGCACGGGUGAGUAACACGUAUGCAACCUGCCUGUAAGCGGGGAAUAACCCGUUGAAAGACGGACUAAUACCGCAUAAUACUAAAUUACUGCAUGGUAAUUUAUUUAAACAUUUAUGGCUUACAGAUGGGCAUGCGCAUGAUUAGCUAGUUGGAGAGGUAACGGCUCCCCAAGGCAACGAUCAUUAGGGGUUCUGAGAGGAAGGUCCCCCACACUGGUACUGAGACACGGACCAGACUCCUACGGGAGGCAGCAGUGAGGAAUAUUGGUCAAUGGACGAGAGUCUGAACCAGCCAAGUCGCGUGCAGGAAGAAUGUCCUUAAUGGAUUGUAAACUGCUUUUGCAGGGGGAAUAAAGUGCAUCACGUGUGAUGUUUUGUAUGUACUCUGCGAAUAAGGAUCGGCUAACUCCGUGCCAGCCGCAGC
rnacentral:rRNA from 1 species